rnacentral:rRNA from 1 species
UACGUAGGGUCCGAGCGUUGUCCGGAAUCAUUGGGCGUAAAGAGCGCGUAGGCGGUCCGGUAAGUCCGCUCUGAAAGUCCGGGGCUCAACCCCGGGAGGCGGGCGGAUACUGUCGGGCUAGAGUCCGGAAGAGGCGAGUGGAAUUCCUGGUGUAGCGGUGAAAUGCGCAGAUAUCAGGAGGAACACCAAUGGCGAAGGCAGCUCGCUGGGACGGUACUGACGCUGAGGCGCGAAAGCGUGGGGAGCGAACAGG